AGAGUUUGAUCCUGGCUCAGGACGAACGCUGGCGGCGUGCCUAACACAUGCAAGUCGAGCGAUGAAAUCCUUUCGGGGAUGGAUUAGCGGCGGACGGGUGAGUAACACGUGGGUAACCUGCCUCAAAGAGGGGGAUAGCCUCCCGAAAGGGAGAUUAAUACCGCAUAACAUUAGUUUUUCGCAUGAAGAACUAAUUAAAGGAGUAAUCCGCUUUGAGAUGGACCCGCGGCGCAUUAGCUAGUUGGUGAGGUAAAGGCUCACCAAGGCGACGAUGCGUAGCCGACCUGAGAGGGUGAUCGGCCACAUUGGAACUGAGACACGGUCCAGACUCCUACGGGAGGCAGCAGUGGGGAAUAUUGCACAAUGGGCGAAAGCCUGAUGCAGCAACGCCGCGUGAGUGAUGAAGGCCUUCGGGUUGUAAAGCUCUGUCUUUU
rnacentral:rRNA from 1 species